AUAGUGUUAUCCAUCAUCUAGGUACUGACAGCACACGGCACACUGUAUUGAUAUUACCUCUUCAGCCAUCCAGUCAACACCCCUAAGUUGGGAGCCCUGUGGCGCUGGGCUUAUCUUAGCCUUCUUUGGUCCCAUUUCAAAAGAAUCACACUCUUUAAACUAUCAGCUUCAAGAUCCAACACCCAAUGCUUCUGAAGUUUUCAACGAGUCCUAUGCCACAUGCUUGAAGUGAAAGGGACUGAACUCCCUAUUAAGCAGGAAGAAGCAAGUUUUGCCAAUGAUGAAUCAGCCUACAAACUGAGGAAAAGCAGGAGUUUGAACAGGAACACAUUAAGACCAGCAUGAAGAGAUCUAAGGACCCUGCUCUCCAGGAAACAGCUGUAAUUAAUGAAAAUUAUAUUAAAACAACCAUUUCACAUCUCUGAAACAACCA
rnacentral:lncRNA from 1 species